CUAAACAGGAUCCCCACAGUAAUGGCGAAUGAGCAGGGAUGAGCUCAGCAUGGAAAUUGGGGCCUAUGGCCUUGACUUGUAAGCUGUUGAGGUAUUGCCAACAGAGGCGCAGAUGUAAGUCUCUUGGAAAAGAGCAUCAGCGAGGGUGAGAGUCCUGCUUGCCAUCUGCAGCCCCCUGUGCACGGUGUACCUACUAAGAGUCACGUUCCUCGGGAUUGGAGCGCAAAGUGGGUGGUAACUUUCAUCUGAAGCUAAAUAUGGGUUUGAGACCGAUAGGAAACAAGUACCAUGAGGGAAAGGUGAAAAGGACUUUGGAAAGAGAGUUAAAAGUGCCUGAAAUUGCUGAAUGGGAAGCGAAUGGAACCAGUGUUUCCGGGUGAGAUUGUCAUAUGCUAUAAUGAUUGGCUGCUGAUUCAGCGCAAGUGUUCUGGCAAGCAUUGAUCUGUAAGUGUGUGGUGUGUCUUGCCUUGAGUGUCAUCGUGGGCUUCUGCAUUGAGAUAAUUCACAUUUCAGGGUAAUAUGUUCGUGAAGGUAUGAAUGUGCUUUGCGAUGUUUAUGCAUAAGCUUCAUCUUGCAUGUCUGGCUGUGGUGUGCUACCCACAUCCGGGGGGUCGAGCAUAUCUUUUCUGCACAGAUGUUGACUAAAUGAUCUAUUCGACCG
rnacentral:rRNA from 1 species